UAGUCCACGCCGUAAACGAUGAGAACUAGAUGUUGGGAGGAAUAGCCUUUCGGUGUCGCAGCUAACGCAUUAAGUUCUCCGCCUGGGGAGUACGGCCGCAAGGCUAAAACUCAAAUGAAUUGACGGGGGCCCGCACAAGCGGUGGAGCAUGUGGUUUAAUUCGAAGAUACGCGAAGAACCUUACCUGGGUUUGACAUCUACGUAGUACCAAAGUGAAAGCUGAGGGACCCUUCGGGGAGCGUAGACAGGUGUUGCAUGGCUGUCGCCAGCUCGUGUCGUGAGAUGUUGGGUUAAGUCCCGCAACGAGCGCAACCCUCGUCGUUAGUUACAAGUGUCUAGCGAGACAGCCGGCUUCGGUCGGAGGAAGGUGGGGACGACGUCAAGUCAGCAUGACCUUUANAUCCAGGGGCGACACACACGCUACAAUGGGCCGGGUACAAUGGGGCAGGCUAUAUCGCGAGAUAAUGCUAAUCUCCAAAGCCGGGUCUCAGUUCGGGAUAGCAGUCUGCAAC
rnacentral:rRNA from 1 species